GAUGAACGCUGGCGGCGUGCUUAACACAUGCAAGUCGAACGGAAAGGCUCCUGCUUGCAGGGGUACUCGAGUGGCGAACGGGUGAGUAACACGUGGGUGAUCUGCCCUGCACUUCGGGAUAAGCCUGGGAAACUGGGUCUAAUACCGGAUAGGACGAUGGUUUGGAUGCCAUUGUGGAAAGUUUUUCGGUGUGGGAUGAGCUCGCGGCCUAUCAGCUUGUUGGUGGGGUAAUGGCCUACCAAGGCGUCGACGGGUAGCCGGCCUGAGAGGGUGUACGGCCAAAUGGGGACGGAGAACGGGCCAAGCCCCCACGGGGGGGAAGAGGGGGGGAUAUUGGCACAAGGGGGGAAGGCCGGAGGCACCGCCGCCGGGUGGGGGAGGACGGCCUCGGGGUUGUAAACUCCUUUCGCUGGGGAGGAAGCGCAAGGGACGGUCCCGGGGAAAGAAGCCCCGGUUAAUUACGG
rnacentral:rRNA from 1 species